AAUAUUGCGCAAGGGGGGAAACCCUGACGCAGCGACGCCGCGUGAACGAUGAAGGCCUUCGGGUCGUAUAGUUCUGUCCUCAGGGAUGAAUAAAUGACGGUAACUGAGGAGGAAGCCCCGGCUAACUACGUGUCAGCAGCCGCGGUAAUACGGAGGAUGCAAGCGUUAUUCGGAUUUAUUGGGUUUAAAGGGUACGUAGGCAGGCAUAUAAGUCAGAGGUGAAAUCCGACAGCUUAACUGUCGAACUGCCUUUAAAACUGUAUGUCUUGAGUGAGAUUGUAGCAGCUGGAAUGUGUAGUGUAGCGGUGAAAUGAAUAGAUAUUACACAGAACACCGAUAGCGUAGGCAGGUUGCUAAGUCUUUACUGACGCUGAUGGACGAAAGCGUGGGGAGCAAAC
rnacentral:rRNA from 1 species